rnacentral:SRP_RNA from 1 species
CGCGCGGCCGCCCUCUUCAAGUCGUCCGCUGCAACGUACGGCCAAGCGAUGGUCAAUCUUGCCGGUCUCUAUCGGGACGGCAACGGCGUGAGGCAG